GUUUUAAGACCACAGACUUUACCAACACGCAUGCGAUAUCAUACUUUUAUUCUACUUUCGAAAUGGGUCUUGGUGACAAUGCGUUCUUUUGGCUGAAUUCAUGGAGUUCGACUGCUGGAAUGUUACUUAUAUUUAUUUUAUGGCUUUUUCUUUGGUUAACAAGGCGAGAAGUAGAUGAGGCAGAGAGAAGGACCGGAAUCCCCGCGGCGGGUGGCGCCCUGCCUCUGUUGGGGCAUCUCCCUCAGGUCUUCAAACUGGGAGUUGAUGAUUUUGAAAAGAAAUGGCUACGGAAAAAGAAAUCCAAGCUGCUAUUAUCAUGGUUCGGCAAUUCCCCCAUGAUUACAGUGACUGACCCUGAGGUACUCAAGCAUGUCCUGGUUAAAGAAUUCUCCAACUUUCAUGACAGACCAAGACGGGUGAGGUUCCAAGUUAGGAAUUAAAAUAUUGAAAUUAAAAAGGUUUUUGUUUACAAGUUACUGUAUAUAUUUUUAGUCAACUUUACCUGUGUCUAAUUGCUAAUGUUGUAUUUAUAAACAAAUUCGUAAGUUUUUUCGUAGAAUUACCAAAUGACACAACCGCCAAUAAACAAGGGCCUGUUUUUUAAUCAUGGAGAUCAUUGGAAAAGAAUUCGCACAAUCAUCACGCCAACGUUCAGCACUGGGAAGCUUAAAGGCGUACGAAGUCACGAAAUAAUUUAUUGUUAUGUGAUUCUGUUUUAUAUCAUUCAUAAAUCGCAAAUAGUAUUUAAGGGUAGUAACAAAAUGUAAAGUUUUUAUGGCUCUGCAGAUGAAUCCCGAUAUCAACAGAUAUUCUGAAAACUUGGCUGAUAAAAUGGAGAAACUGGCUAAAUCGAAAGAAAAAGUCGAAAUCAAAAGGUUGUAUGAAGGCUUCACCCUGGACACUAUAUCAGCGACAGCGUUUGGGUUGGAUGUAGACUGCAUCAACAAUCCUGAUGGUCCUUUCAUCAAGAACAUGCGGAGCAUUUUUGAAAAGGGGAUAGGGGUAUGGAGAAGAAUUUUCUUCACACUUGGAAACAUAUUCCCAACGUUCAUUCCCGUGGUUCGAUAUUUCAAAAUGGAUUACUUUGACAAAGACCACCUUGAUUUCUUCAUCAGACAUUGUCAAGCGAUGAUAGAAGACAGAAAGACAAGGGUCUCUCAGAGGAAAGACUUUCUUCAGUUGAUGGUUGAUGCAGAAUUGGAGGAUAAGUCGACUACAGGUCCCGAAGUUUGCAACGUACCAAACAAAAGGUUGACCAAUGACGAGGUGGUUGCACAGGUGUUCAUGCUUUACCUGGCAGGGCACGAAACCACGGCCAACACGCUGACCUUCGUCUCCUAUGAACUAGCCCUGAACCAGGAAGUUCAAGACAGAGUGAUUCAAGAGAUUCAAGAUCAGAUAGGGGAGAAGGAACCAACCUAUGAAAACACAAACAAACUGAAAUAUAUGGAUCAAGUUAUUAUGGAAACACUCAGAAUGUUCCCACCUCUAACGAGACUGUACCGUGAAAUACAAGAGACGGUGACAAUCGGGAAUUACACAUUUCCAAAGGGAUGGACCGUGGUUGUUCCGGUGUUCAGUAUUCAUCGUGACCCCGAAUACUGGCCUGACCCGGAACGGUUUGAUCCCGGAAGAUUUGAAAAUCCCAAAUCCACUCAGAACAAGUUUUUCUACAUACCAUUUGGUCAAGGUCCCCGGAUUUGCUUAGGAAUGAGACUGGCCCUGUUGGAGCUGAAAGUAUCUCUUGUUCACGUGCUUAAAAGAGUUCGUCUUGUCCCAUGUGAGGAAACACAGAUGUCGUUGAAACCCGUCACCCACAAAGGCACGCUGAUAUCCGUGGAACGACCCAUUCAACUUGGCCUACAGUUGAGACAAAAUGAACAUUAGAGCAUUUGUACAUGUACUGACAUUUUAUUUUAAGCAACCAAUGUUACCCCAAAAUGAUCAGACCAUUCUCGUACAUGACAUUGUAUUUAACCUGGAUCCGCCGUCACAAACUUUGCUUGUCUAAUUAGGUAUAUAAAUUAUCGACCUCGAAUCUAAGUUUUUACCUCAAAAUGUAUAUUUUGACUUGAACUUGAAGGUUGAGUAGAGUAAUUUCAAAAUGUUGGUGACUGCAGUUCUGGAAAAGAAUUCGAAUUUUAUGUUGACAUUAGUUGACAUCUUAUCUGUAAUUACCGGUAUUGUAUACGAGUAAAAGAACUACGCCCACUAACGCCUGAUGAUCGUCUCCUUUAACACUCGUCUAUUUCAGCUGAAUGUAGAUGGGUGAAUAUGGCGUGUAAAAUGUCUAUAUACAAAGACGGGUAAGAUAGUAAAGAUACUGAAAAAUUAAAAUAUCGACAUUG
rnacentral:misc_RNA from 1 species